rnacentral:rRNA from 1 species
CGGAAGGUCCAGGUGUUAUCCGGAUUUAUUGGGUUUAAAGGGAGUGUAGGCGGUCUGUUAAGCGUGUUGUGAAUUUAGGUGCUCAACAUUUAACUUGCAGCGCGAACUGGCGGACUUGAGUGCACGCAACGUAUGCGGAAUUCAUGGUGUAGCGGUGAAAUGCUUAGAUAUCAUGACGAACUCCGAUUGCGAAGGCAGCGUACGGGAGUGUUACUGACGCUUAAGCUCGAAGGUGCGGGUAUCGAACAGGAUU